rnacentral:rRNA from 1 species
GGGUCAGUAGGUUGGUCGUGCCACCGGUACGUACUGGUCUCACUGAUUCCUCCUUCCUGAAGAACCGUAAUGCCAUUAAUUUGGUGUUGUGGGGAAACAGGACUGUUACUUUGAAAAAAUUAGAGUGUUUAAAGCAAGCUAACGCUUGAAUACAUUAGCAUGGAACAAUGAAAUAGGACGAUCGAUCCUAUUUUGUUGGUUUCUAGGAUUGACGUA